rnacentral:rRNA from 1 species
GACGUAGGGCGCGAGCGUUGUCCGGAUUUAUUGGGCGUAAAGAGCUCGUAGGCGGCUUGUUGCGUCGACUGUGAAAACCUGCGGCUCAACCGUGUGGUCUGCAGUCGAUACGGGCAGGCUGGAGUUCGGUAGGGGAGACUGGAAUUCCUGGUGUAGCGGUGAAAUGCGCAGAUAUCAGGAGGAACACCGGUGGCGAAGGCGGGCCUCUGGGCCGAUACUGACGCUGAGGAGCGAAAGCGUGGGGAGCGAACAGG